rnacentral:rRNA from 1 species
AGUGAACGUUGGCGGCGUGGAUUAGGCAUGCAAGUCGAGCGAGAACCGUAGCAAUACGGGGACAGCGGCGAAAGGGACAGUAAUGUGUAGGUACCUACCUCCGGGUUCGGGAUAGCUGCGGGAAACUGCAGGUAAUACCGAAUAACGUCUCCGGACCAAAGGUGUGAUUCCACCUGGAGAGGGGCCUGCAUCCUAUUAGCUUGUUGGCGGGGUAACGGCACACCAAGGCGACGAGGGGUAGCGGGUGUGGGAGCACGACCCGCGUCAUUGGGACUGAGACACUGCCCAGACACCUACGGGUGGCUGCAGUCGUGAAUCUUCGGCAAUGGGCGCAAGCCUGACCGAGCGACGCCGCGUGCGGGAUGAAGGCCUUCGGGUUGUAAACCGCUGUCGUAGAGGAGGAAAUGCAGGGGGGUUCUCCCCUCUGUUUGACCUAUUCUAGGAGGAAGUACGGGCUAAGUUCGUGCCAGCCGCCGCAGUAA